UACAGAGGUCUCGAGCGUUAGGCGGAAUCACUGGGUUUAAAGGGUGCGUAGGCGGGCAGGUAAGUCCGUGGUGAAAUCUCCAAGCUUAACUUGGAAACUGCCGUGGAUACUAUUUGUCUUGAAUAUAGUGGAGGUGAGCGGAAUAUGUCAUGUAGCGGUGAAAUGCUUAGAUAUGACAUAGAACACCCAUUGCGAAGGCAGCUCGCUACACUAUUAUUGACGCUGAGGCACGAAAGCGUGGGGAUCAAACAGG
rnacentral:rRNA from 1 species